GAGAUCAUGCCAUUGCGCUCCAGCCUGGGCAACAGAGUGAAACUUCGUCUCAGAAAAAAAAAAAAGAUUCAUGAACCACCUGUUAUUUAUGUAAUACCACCUGAAUGUUGGUAUUCCCCAAAUUCACCUGUUCAAACCUAAUACCCAAUGUGAUACUAUUAAAAGGUACAGCCUUUGGGAAGUAAGUCAUGAGGACUCUACCCUCGUGAAUGGGAUUAGUGCCUUUAUAAAAGACACUCAACUAGAAGAAGAUGGAACAAUAAAAAGAAAACAGAAUGGGGUAACACGAGCUCCCCUGCCCUUUCCACAAUGUGAGGAUAUGGCAACAAGGCACCAUCUGUGAAGCAGAGAACAAGUCUUUUUGAGACACUGAAUCUGCCAGCAUCCGGAUCGUGGACUUCCCAGCCUCCACAACUGUGAGCAAUACAUUUCCCUUGUUUAUAAAUGAUCCUGUCUAAGGCAUUUUUUAAUAGCAGCCCAAACAAAGACACCACCUCUUAGGGUGGGCCAUUUCUACAGAUGUUGAACUUAUUCACUAGUAGUUCUAUGGAUUUUUUUGCAAGUUUAAAUGUCUUAGGAUAACUUUUUCCAGUUUUUUAUCUUCAAAUUCAGAGGGUGACUAGCCUAUACACUGUCCAUCCUUUCUCUCAAAAUAGAAUAAAACUAUUAGAUCUGCCUUUAAUAUCUUCAAUAAACUCCAAAAACAAUGAAAAGCACCACUCCUCCUGGGUUCCUUAUCUCAGGUCCAUCACUAACUAGGAGUAUGAUUUGGGGCACAUGACAACUUCUUUAAGGCUCAGUUUCUUCAUCAGUCAUCCCUGAGAUGCUAAUAGCAUCUCACAGAAUUAGUGUGUGGAUUAAAUGAUACAUGUGGUGAAGCAGAACAAUGGCUGGCAUACGGUGCACAGUAUCUAGAAGUCAUCUUGAGCCAAAAACUCACCUGCAUCACUCUAUCCCUCAUGCCUGUAUUCUCACUUGGACAGUCCUCUCAGUCUUAGUUCAGAUUUUCAUGAUCCAAAAUGAAAGAUGACAGAAUUAUAGCACCUAUACUGAAUGUUCAUUCUACACAAGGCACUACUCUAAGUUGUUUAUGUUAAUUUUUCUAACAAAAAGCGUACUUCUAAUUUAGUGCAGGUAUUUACAUGCACAGCCUCUUUUAAGAGUCAAAAACACCUCUAUACAGUAGGUGCUAUUAAAAUCAUUUUACAGAUGAAUAAACUGAGGCAAAGAGAGAUUAAGUAAUCUGUCCAAGGUAGUGAUCCCUGGGCUCACACACUUAUGAUGAUGACAUAUUGCCUCAAGCAAAGGACUUCAAGGAUUCCUCAAAUAUAAACCUCUAGUUUCUAAAACAUAUUUUUUAAGAAUAUAGUUUUUAAAACUUCAAAUAAAAAAGUCACUAACACUUGCAUAGGCUUUAUGGUAACUAUUAACUUAUCAGUGGCCAUCAAUUAUGUUAACUUAGGUCUAGGUUUAUGCAUUUAUGUACAGUUGUGGGAAGGCAGGCUACCCGGUCCUCUUUGGACAGGCAUCUGAGUUUCCUACAAACAUGCUACUCACUAGGAAGUUGUUAAAGUGUAAUGAGAUUGUGUGUGUCUAUGUGUCUGUGUGUGUGUCUGUGGUGUCUACGUUUACUAGGUGUGAUGGUUACUUUUAUGUGUUAACGUGACUGCACCACAUGAUGCCAAAUUAAAACAGUAUUGAUUUCUAGGUGUCUCUGUGAGGGUGUUCCUGGAUGAGAUAAGCAUUUGAAUUGGUAGACUCAAUAAAGUAGACUGCCCUCCACAAUGUAGUGGGCAUCAUCCAAUCUGCUGAGGACCUGAAUGGAACAGACGAUGGAAGAAGAAGGAAUUUGCCCCUUUUUGCUUCAUACUUGCCUGUUUGAACUAGGCAUCUUCUCCUGCCUUUCUAUUGGAAUUUGCACCCCUGGCUUCCCUGGUUCGCAAGCCUUCAGACUCGGACUGGAAUUACACCACUGGCUUUCCUGCAGAGGGCAAAUCCUGGAACUUCUCAGUCCCCAUAACUAUAUGAAUCCAUUCCUAAUAAAUCUGUCUCAGAGAGAACCUUAAAUUUUUCAGUGAAUAGUUCACAGAGAAGCACUACGAUAUUUGCAUUUUUAAUGAUAUUGUUGACUCCAUAAAGCUACAACAAACAUUUGAAAUAAAUUUCUAACAAACAACAAAUGACAACCCAACUGAGAAAUCCACUCAUUGACUCCCUCUAAAUUUGCUGCCAAAGUAUAAGAACUGUUACACUGCUUGUUACCAACAUCUAAUCCAAAAUGCCUUUUUCUUCUUUCAUGUCUUUUUCACAUCAGUUGCUACUGAUCCUAGUUACUGACACUUUUCCGAACAUAAUGAGCACUUCAUUUAUACCAUAGUAUAAUAGUCAUUAUAUUUGUCUGUUGUGCCUGUAGAGUUGUUCGUUAUUUCCUUAAGGGAUAGAACAAUUUAGUAUAGAGCCUUACAUUUAGUAAGUACUCAAUAAAUAUUGCUUGAAGUUAAAAAAAAAAAAAGUCUUAUUAUGAGCUACAGUUGUUAACUGUAAGCAUUUUUUAAAGUGCCAGAGUUUUAGGCUUUUCCAAACCGAAAAGAAUACAGAAUCUUUUUUUUUUUUUUUUUUUUUUUUUGUGGUUAAACAGGGACUUGCACUAUCACUCAGUCUGGAGUACACUGGCAUACUCAUAGUUCAUUGUAAACUCAAGCUACUGGACUCAAGUGAUCCUCUCAAACUGGCCUCCCAAGUAGCUGGGACAACAGUCACACACCACUAUGUUUUUAAGAAUCAUUUUCAUUAUUCACUUUGAGCCGACAUCUUAGUUAGAUUAAGGACUUAUUCAACACUUAAAAAGCUAAUUUAAAAAUCAUAUCAUUUCUAUAUUUAAUCCUCAAAUUGCAGUUCUUAGUACUGCUUUUCACUCCCUCUUUCCCUCUUGGCUCAAGUCCCUUUCCAAGAUUUGUCUUUUCUAGCUCAGUAAGAGGACAGCACUGUUUGCAGUGGUGCGAGCAUGUUGGUGUCACCAUCCUGACCAAAAGAUGCCAUCCAGCCUUCAGCUGCCUGGAGCCUCAGCACUAUUUGGCUCAGCCAGAUUCACAUAACAAAAUAGGUGGCCUCAAAAUCAAAAUGAUGCCAGCACUGUGGCUGGAAACCAUCAACCUGAUACCUACAGAAAUUGCCUAAUUAAAAAGUGAGCAGAAACUGUCAUCCCAUAUGUUAGGGUUUUGUUUUAUUUCAGGAGAAACCACUGCAAUUAUUUUUCCUUCCAUAACUUAGCCUGUUGGGUUAAAUCCGCCAUUGUUUUAGAAAAUCCAAGAUCUAACACAGAGCAUAGCAGAUACGGAUAAAGUGAAUGAAUGAGCUAGGGAGGGAUGGAGGUAGGAAGAUAAGGAGCUAUUUAAAAUAGACAAAACAUUUAGAGAACCUGUAACUGAAUGAAGAACUUGUUGACCUAAAAACAUAUUCAAAGGUGUUGUUCUCAAACUCGGAUCUAUCAGAAACCUGCUAAUUAACAACAACAACAACAACAAAAAGCGUAGGCCAGGUUCAUUCUUUCUUUUAACAACCUCCGGGAAAGCCCCGAACCUUCCAUGCUGUCUUCCCCUCUACCCCCACAUCCACCACACACAUCAUGCUACUGAGCCAGAGCCAGGCCCUGCCAAGAAGGGAAGGGAACAGUUAACUCCCUCUCAGCAUUUCUAAGAGAGCUGGGUAAGAAGGUGAAUGUUCUGCAGGAUCCUUCACAAAACUCGAACACUUGCAGAAGGAAAGGUUGAAACUGAGGGGAAAAAAUAAAAUUUAAAAAAGCAGUGUAGGUGUCUCAAGGAGCAGAAACAUUUUUGUGUUCUGAUACUGCCUUCAGUGAAAGACUAGUUUCUUUUAUCAACGUGCUGGAAGGUAAAAGCGGACACAAGGGAAGAUGCAUGGAGCCCUACUUUCUAGUUACAAGUGUUUGAAAGAGCUGAUGUGGGAACUGGUAAAACUGGCGGCUGACCAGUUCUGACUUUCCACUGAGCAUCCCAUUAGAGUUAAUUACGGGACUGGGAACUUUUGAGCUGUAUGGUUUCCUUCCUCUCAAAGAGUGAGAGCCAAAACUUUUCGUCUUUCUUAAGUAUUUCUGUUUAUCUCUAAUCCCCAUUUCAAAAUUGCUAUGUAUUUCUUCAGAUUUUGUGAUUUCUGUGACCAUUUUACAAAGUCACUGCUUCCUUGCAGAGUUAAUAGCUAGUCAUUGUUUAUAACUUAGAUAACUGCUAAGACAAGAGAAUCAUUUCAAUCACAUAUACAUUGGGUAAAUAUUAUACAGGCUAGUUUCUGAGGCAAUUCUGGCCUGGCCAGACCCCACAUGCCCACCCCACCCCAUACUCCAGCGUAAGCGAAGCUGCUCAUCAACACCUUCUGAGCUGAGGGGCAGGGCCAUGCUUUGUACUGGUUGCCAUCCACCUCCCAGGGCAGCCAACCUUCAGGGUGGCUGGUAACCUGACCUGUACUCUAUGUCUUACAGUUGGCAUAAAAAGAUAAGUUGGGUCAACCAUUCUUCACUGAGAAAUCCUUCACUGGCAAACAAAUGCUGCAGCAGGGGCAAAAGCCAAACUGUACGUAAAAAGAAAUCACAAAAAAGAGGUCACCACAAGCCAGUUACAACAGAGCAGGUCAUUGAGGAGGGAAGAACAGAGAACCCACAAACAGACGCAGACACACUGGAAAAGAGAGGCCAUGAAACCCUCAAGAUAGUGUCAAAUGCAAGCUUGGUGCCACUGCUUUUGGUAUAUGUUAAUUCCCUCCACCCUCUGCUUCCGUACAAUCAAAUCCACUUUAACUAGGUAGAUCUGGGUUCCCUGCAACCAAAUAAGCCAUCUAAAACAAGACACUCUCCCAAAAAAAAGUUUUGUUCUGUUUUACUUUUUCUAGUACCUUCAAAGUAAGAAAUAAUUUUCAUGCAAAAUAAAAGUAUGUCACGAUCACAUGGCUAAGCCAGAAGACAGUUUCUAAUUUAUAGAAUGUAAUAGAUAACAGCAAUUUAAAACCUAUUAGAAGUUGGCAGAAAGGAGGAAUCAUUUUUUCUUCACCAUAUUUCCGACCAAGUACUGACUGCUGCAUUAUAACAAUGAUCCACAAAAGAAUACUAUGUCUGGGACCUGGGGUUUUUGUCAAAAA